GACCCAUAGCUUUUGUUCCCUGAGGAAGGUCCCGAAAGGUUCCUUCUGACUGGUGCCUAGGAGAGGUUACCUAGGCAGGGUUCCAUUGCUUUGCAACUGAUGCUACUCUCUCUAAGAAGAGACGAGACUCCAACCAACUACCUCUUAUAGCAGGCCUCUCAGCUGCAGAGCCCACCUCCAGGGGCAGGGUUCCAAAUCAGAGGCUGGAAGGGUAACCACAGAAAUCAUCCAUCUCAACCCCAAACCUUUUCUUCCCAUACCAACUUUUGUUGGGAGCCCCAGCUGAUGAAGCAUCAAGGCCCCAGCUGACAAAGCAUCAAGGCGAGUUAAGCAGCAGAGCAAA